rnacentral:rRNA from 1 species
UAAUACGAAGGGUGCAAGCGUUAUCCGGAUUCAUUGGGUUUAAAGGGUGCGUAGGCGGAACAAUAAGUCAGCGGUGAAAUCCUGCAGCUCAACUGUAGAAUUGCCGUUGAUACUGUUGUUCUUGAGUACGCUUGACGUGGGCGGAAUGUGCCGUGUAGCGGUGAAAUGCUUAGAUAUGGCACAGAACACCGAUAGUGAAGACAGCUCACGAAGGCGAAACUGACGCUGAGGCACGAAAGCGUGGGGAUCAAACAGGAUUAGAUACCCUGGUAGUCCACGCCGUAAACGAUGAUCACUCGAGGUUGGCGAUAUACGGUCGGCCUCCUAGCGAAAGCGUUAAGUGAUCCACCUGGGGAGUACGAUCGCAAGAUUGAAACUCAAAUGAAUUGACGG